rnacentral:lncRNA from 1 species
AAUCUCUCAUUCCAUCUUAUAGAGAAUCUUGGAUAACUGAUUUGUGGUUUCAUGUUUCUAAAUUGGCAUGACUGACUAUACGAGAAGUUAUGUCCUUCCAAGAAAAGGACUUACAGUCAACAAGAUUCCUUGUUUGCUAACCCGUUGGCUGCUACCCAUGAAUCUCCCUAUUUUUCAACAACAAAAAAAGAGGUUAAAUAUUGUGAUCAUGCUAUCAUCAUUAUGUUGCCUAUAAGACCAAAUGUGGGGCAUCUGGUUAUCCCUCCAAAAUAAGGCAAUUACCACACGUUCAACGCGGAUCAUUCGGUUUGUCAUCGAACUUGACUCAUUCCAUCUUCUGGAUUGCUUAGGAAAGCUGAUUGGUGUUACCUGUCCAUUUAGGUAAUGACCGAGAAGAUGCGGUCUACAUGAACAUCAUUUAGGCGGCCAGCAUCAUUCGACUACCCAACCGGCUUCUACUACCCUGCUCUCAAAACAGCACGGAGUUUUACCUUUAGAUUUUUGGCUGUUCGCGAUGUGUGAUGGCGUUUCCUUGGACGAGAUGAAUAUUGCGUUCCUAAAUAUGAAAAGUAAUGUUCUUUCAAGAGAGUCAACGACGUCCCUUACUCCCUUGUUUGCUAACCCAAUGGCUGCUACCCUUGAAUCUCCCUAUUUAGCUCCUUACACAGUCCCUCUUGAUUUGAGGGUAAUCCUUCGCUACUGAUCAUGGACUCCAUUGGUGAAAC